GACAUAUUUGGGUUCUGCGAUCUUAUUCCGCGUUUGGCGUAGCCGCGCGCAGGUCGGCCUGCAAGGCACCGUGUUUCGUUCGUGAAUGGGUUCAAGCGGCCUGGCCUGCAAGGCCUUGUGGGCUGCUGCGGGAAGACCGCAACCGCCUGCGAGGCCCGCACGGCUGGAGCCUGCAAAGCGCCGCAUCGACCGCGUCGCCGCUGCCUGCUCGGCGGUCGGCGCCCUCCGGUGACUGUGCAGCCUGCUCGGCUGCGGCGCCGCCACAUACUGCAUCUCCUUCGGCUCAUCCAAGGAGUCUCUUCUUCUCCGACGCGUCCCACAAGAAGGGCGACGCCAGGGCCGCCACUGCCAAGUGCCAACAGCACCGCCGCCUCCGGCGAGGAACGCCAAUUUUUGUUGUCAAGGUCGACCUCAGGAACGGGGACGGCCCGAAUCCGCCGCCGUCCGUCCCUCGUCGGUGAUCAUGGGGCGGUGGUCGUCCCCAAAGGACCCCGCCCUGGAAGCGGCGCUCCGGCGCAACCGCCGCUGGGUCGUGAACAACCAGAUCAAGCGCCUCCUCCUCCGUUUCCCUUCCCGCACGGCGCCCGUGAGGUUCCUACAGUCCCGCUUCAAGACGCUCGACCUCAUGGGCCGCGCCGCCAACUGGCUCGGCAAGUACCCCUCCUGCUUCGAGGUCUUCUCCGCCGACGCCGGUGGCGGCGAGCUGGAGCCCCACUUCGGCUUCACCAAGCGGAUGGCGGCGCUCGUCGACGCCGAGGAGGCCGCAGUCGCGGCCUCCGAGCCGGCCAUGGCGGACCGCCUCGCGCGGGUGCUCAUGCUCGCCCGCGGCCGGCGCCUCCAGGUCUCAAAGCUCGCCGCGCUGCGGGGCCCGCUCGGGCUCCCCGACGACUACCUCCUCCGCCUCCUCCCGGCCCACACCGACCUUUUCCGCCUCUCCAACCCGUACCCGCACCGCCGCAACGCAGCCGAGCUGGAGCUCAUCCGGUGGGCGCCCUCGCUCGCCGUCUCUGCCGUCGAGGCCGCCGCGGCCGUGAGCAACUCCGCCCCGCGGUUCAACUGCUCGUUGCCCGCCUCCUGGGCCAAGUCGCACGCCAAGAUGGAGGACUUCAACUCCACGCCUUACAUCUCGCCCUACUCGGAGGAGUGGGCCGUGCCGUGCACGGACGCCGAGGCCGAGAAGCGAGCGGUGGCCGUGGUGCACGAACUCCUCUCACUCACGCUGUGGAGAAAGAUGUCAAUUCUGAAGCUGGAGCAUUUCAGGAGGGAGUUUGGACUGCCUGAGGACACGGCAAGGAUGCUGUUCCGGUACCCUUGCCUCUUCUAUGUGUCGAAUAGAUACAAGAUUCACACGGUGGUGCUGCGCGAGGGGUACGAGGGGUCGGAGUUGAGGGAGAAGGAUCCUGUCGUGGCAGCUAAGGAUUGGCUUGGGGAGCUCAUGCAGGAGGGGCUGCAUGAGUAUAAUCAAGGAAGGCGUGCUGCGAAUAUUGAGAAGAAGAGGAGGAGAGGGGAGAUUGAGGUUAAGAAAGAGGAAGAGAAGGUGGAAGAUGAGGAAACAGCUCAGCUAGAUAGUGCAGAGAAGAGGGAGGAGAGGAGACGGUUUUACAAGGUGUUGUUCGAUGAUGGCAAUCGGUGAUUGUUAGAGGAAGGUGAAGAUCAUCAGCAUAUGAUUUGCUUAUUGGACCUUGAGCUGUUGAGCACUUUGCUAUUUUGCAAUGGAAUAGAUUUUGUUGACUGCUAAUCAGAACAUGUGACUGAAGAUCUGCAGUAUGCGACAAUUUAACCUUGUUGGAUCAAGGCAAUUACUUUAUGGAUGCAAUAAGAUUAGUAUUGUCACAGGCAGUAAGAGGUUGCAGAACAUAUUGCUAAGAGAAUGUAUUAAUGGAUUGACGAUGGUUAUGAUAAGAUUGGGAUUUCUAUGGGGCUCACAAGUGAGAUAACAGUGCAGCCUGAGUUGUUUCCGGGCCAUAGAGAAUGGUAUUCAUGAGCUGCAAAUGUUGCUGUUGAGGUAUGACUGAAUGACUGCAAAUGAAUAAUUCAAGACUGGCUGAUCUUUCAGCAGAACAAUAAUUUUACCUUAUAAGCUCCACUUUUUUUGCAUAGCAAAUAUUUGAACCUAAGACCCUGAACUUCAGUAAGCAAUUGGGUAUAUGGUAAGCUGCAACUCAUCUUGUUUCUUUGCCCUGUGUCAUUUUUAGUUUCAUUAGGAUGAUAGUCUUCCAGUUGGGCAAUUUCUUGUAUUCCUUUGGGGCAUUUAAAUCCUGAAUUACUAAAUUCAUACAAAAUCUCACGCAUGUCUAUUGUCUCGUCAAUCAUUUCAUGGGCGUCUAUAGUUAUGAAUAAUCCCUUGUGUGCCUUGUGGGCACUUUAAUUA